GGGCCGGUAGCUCAGUGGUAGAGUCGCGGACUUUUAAUCCGUCGGUCGUGGGUUCGAAUCCCACCCGGCUCA
rnacentral:tRNA from 1 species